UACGGAGGAUGCGAGCGUUAUCCGGAUUUAUUGGGUUUAAAGGGUGCGUAGGCGGGUUAUCAAGUCAGCGGUAAAAUCGUGGAGCUCAACUCCAUCCAGCCGUUGAAACUGAUGAUCUUGAGUGGGCGAGAAGUAUGCGGAAUGCGUGGUGUAGCGGUGAGAUGCAUAGAUAUCACGCAGAACUCCGAUUGCGAAGGCAGCAUACCGGCGCCCGACUGACGCUGAAGCACGAAAGCGUGGGUAUCGAACAGG
rnacentral:rRNA from 1 species